rnacentral:rRNA from 1 species
GUGGGGAAUUUUGGACAAUGGGGGCAACCCUGAUCCAGCCAUGCCGCGUGAGUGAAGAAGGCCUUCGGGUUGUAAAGCUCUUUCGGCCGGAACGAAAUCGCGUACGUGAAUAACGUGCGUGGAUGACGGUACUGGAAGAAGAAGCACCGGCUAACUACGUGCCAGCAGCCGCGGUAAUACGUAGGGUGCGAGCGUUAAUCGGAAUUACUGGGCGUAAAGCGUGCGCAGGCGGUUCUGCAAGUCAGAUGUGAAAUCCCCGGGCUUAACCUGGGAACUGCGUUUGAAACUACGGAGCUAGAGUGCGGCAGAGGGGGGUGGAAUUCCACGUGUAGCAGUGAAAUGCGUAGAUAUGUGGAGGAACACCGAUGGCGAAGGCAGCCCCCUGGGCCGACACUGACGCUCAGGCACGAAAGCGUGGGGAGCAAACAGGAUUAGAUACCCCAGUAGUCC